rnacentral:tRNA from 2 species
GGGAGGGUGGCCGAGUGGUUAUGGCGCUACGUUUAGGCCGUAGUUCGAAAGAGCGUGGGUUCGAAUCCCACCCCUCUCA